CAGUAGCCGCGGGAAUACCGAGGGUGCAAGCGUUAAUCGGAAUUACUGGGCGUAAAGCGCGCGUAGGUGGUUCGCCAAGUUGGAUGUGAAACCCCCGGGCUCGACCUGGGAACUGCAUCCAAAACUGGCGAGCUAGAGUAUGGUAGAGGGUGGUGGAAUUUCCUGUGUAGCGGUGAAAUGCGUAGAUAUAGGAAGGAACAUCAGUGGCGAAGGCGACCACCUGGACUGAUACUGACACUGAGGUGCGAAAGCGUGGGGAGCAAACAGGAUUAGAUACCCCUGUAGUCCCUGUCUCUUAUAU
rnacentral:rRNA from 1 species